rnacentral:rRNA from 1 species
UACGAAGGGGGCUAGCGUUGUUCGGAUUUACUGGGCGUAAAGCGCACGUAGGCGGAUUCUUAAGUCAGGGGUGAAAUCCCGAGGCUCAACCUCGGAACUGCCUUUGAUACUGGGGAUCUCGAGUUCGGGAGAGGUGAGUGGAAUUGCGAGUGUAGAGGUGAAAUUCGUAGAUAUUCGCAAGAACACCAGUGGCGAAGGCGGCUCACUGGCCCGAUACUGACGCUGAGGUGCGAAAGCGUGGGGAGCAACAGGGAUUAAGAUA